ensembl:lncRNA
CCCGCUUUAAAACCGUCAUCACAUGUGCGCCUACUCCUUGCUUUGGCUUUGUUUACAAACCGUAAACUAGCUAUUAGUCGCUAGCUUAAGCAGAACGUACGACCAAAUAUACUGGUAACCUUUCAUCUGUGGUGUGACUGUUUGCUAGCAAGUUACUUAUUAGCAUGCCGGCAAAAGCACACUCUGUUGUGACUGGAUGCCUUAGUGUACAAUUAACCUUACACUAUUUUCCGAAGAAUUAAGACAUCCGACGAUAGUGGCUCGGGUGGACAGGCUGCAAAUGAAGAUCAUGUCAGACAUGUGCAGUGCACAUUUCGAGUGAAGUUGCUUUAUCAAUUGGGAAGAACAUUCAAUGGGUAUUGCCAGGAAGCCGAUCCUGAAGACAGAUGCUGUACCAUCAUCGUCAGUAGAUUUUGCAAGCGUAGACCAUGAUCUUCCCAGGCAACCCACCGAAACAGGAAUAGUGCAAUACAAAAAACAGCUUUCCCAAGGCAAAGAAGGGGGACUUGGUGUGAAGCCUAUGAAGUUGGACCUAACAUACUGGAAGGCUCCUGGAUCUCCUCUUCAACGAGGUCUGCCUUGAGCCAGCAAAGGACCGUAUGCAGGGAAGCUGUGGGAGCUGACCAUCCCAGAACCCCUGUCUGCCCAGUGUGAGAGACCUGACAAGGAGGCCAUGUGGGUGACUGAAGCCAAGUGGGUGACUGAAGCCUGCUUGAUUGAAGUGGGGUACAUGGGUCCCCCUCUCAUCCAUCUCUAUACUGUAGUAGGUUACAUUCCCUAAAGCCUAAGUAAUUCACUUUUACGUGAUAUGACAUCACACUUUGUAUAGUUUUUUUCAAGCAUUCGGACGGGAGAUGAGUGUUACAAAUUGUAUGAAUCAAUGGAUCCUGCACAUUGUAGUGUGCCGGGUGCCUAUAUUAGGCUUUUUAACGAUGUACGCUGAGAGUCGGGAAGAAAGUUCAGGGAGUGAAUACAUUUAAUUAAUAAAUGAACAGCGCACCGACAUGAAACAGCAACAAUGACGACUGGGGAAGAAACUGAAGGGAGUGACAUAUAAAGGGCAGGUAAUCAAGGAGGUGAUGGAGUCCAGGUGAGUGUCAUUAUGAGCUGGUGGCAGGCUUAUGGCUCUGGGACCUUUUAUGUCAAAUGAUGUCUCACCAUUAUUUAUCAUGAGUGAUCAUGUUGAUCAAUAUUUCAGCUAUGGUGGCCAAUGGUAAAUAAUCAAAUACAUUUCUGAUCAAUACAUAUCAUUCUGAACAUAUUGCCAUUUAUAAUGCUAAUUCAGAGGCACCAAUACAUUUCCAGUACAUUUAUUGUAUGCUGUUUUCAUAUACAAUCCCUUAUGUCUAAGCUUCUAAGAUGACUCAAGCUUCACUAAUUCUUGUGAAGUGUACCAGUUAACUGUAUUCUGUAAUGAGUUACAAAACAAUAGAAAUGCAGUUGUGUAUUGCUGCUGUUUGUCUGAUAUCCAACAGUCCAUGAUCCGCUCUGUUGACCAUGGGAACAUUUAGCAGGGAAAAUAGUUUGAGGCAUACCAUUUAGGCUCAGAAUGACAUGUGGUCCAUUGUUUACCUUGUUACCUGGCAGCGACCAGUGUUUUUCAAAGCGAUGUCAGUCAAGGCAAGUUCAUGAAUAUAAGCUCCCCGCCCAUUCAGCCUGUUCGUUCAGGCUUUCUGAUCGUUAGAGAUGAGAGAAAAGGUCAAAUGUCUUAAAUUCUGAGCAUUUUAAUAGCGUCAAAAUAUUAUAGGUGAUGUUUUGGUCAUUCAAAGGCUAUUUUUAACUUGGGAAAGAGGAUGACUGUGCAUGAGCUAUAAAACAUGAGUGCACCAUGUUUUAUAGCUAUACAGUGUUUGUUUACAUUUACUUUGUUUACAAACAUUGGAGUUAAACAAGAGUAUAUUUUAUGUUCGACAGUUAAACUAAGCUCAUGAGGCAUUUCUAAGAUAUUAUUCAAUAAUCAAUAGGUAUAAAUUAUUAAUUUACAAGUCUAAAUGGAUGGAUGUGAGGAGUUGGCUAUAGCACAAACAGGUCUGGGGCCAGGCUAUUGGGUGCUUUUCUACUCUGGGAUUUGCUUUACAGUGCCAACUCACCUCCCAUUGGCUGGGUUAACAAGGAAAUAAUUGCUAAUGAUUACAUGAGGAUUUGAUACAGUAGGUAAGCUUGCAUUUCAUCUUGUCUUUAUUAAGAAAAUUAAGAGGAAAAAUGUGACAAAAAUGUCAUGUUAAAGUGAGGUCUCUAGCCAUCUAUGUCAUUUUUAUCCAGAGCAGCUUACAGUCGUGAGUUUUCCCCACGGAAAUCGAACCCACGACCCUGUCGUCGAAACCACAACCAAAACCCACAACCCUGCCACAAAACCCACAACCCUGCCGUAGCAAGUGCCAUAAUCUACCAAUUGAGCCACACGGGACCACACAUAGUUCAAUAUUUCAUUGUUUAAAAUGCUUUAGUGGGUCUUGUACGCUAGCCUAAAGACAAUGUAGUAUGGUGUCUGACUGUUUUUCUGAAAAUAACUGUAUUUAUAUAUUUGUAUCUAAGGGCUAGACAUCCAUAUUUUUCCACUCAACAAACUUAAUUUCCAAUUCAUUAACACACAGUAGGGGCUAUUGAGCCAAUAACAUGACUGGCACAGGAUCAGGGUGAUAAACCUGCCAUGAAUACAAAUCCAUUUUUACACUGCCUGCUAUUCUCUCACUCACCAAAGUUGGUAUUAGAGAAUAUAAUGGCAUGGCACAGUAACUAUUGACUGAUUCCAAAUGUGAAGCAAGUUUAGACCAAGGCCCUCUUCCUCCUUUGAAUCAUACAGUGUAAUCUGAUCUGCUGUAGUCAGACAGGGAAUCUCAAGAAUCAAAAAAUGUGUGAAAAAUAUGUGGGUAUAAAAGGAGCACAACAAUGAUCUCAUUUUAUAGAAUAGUUGAAGAAACUAGGAGGCAGAGUUUUGAGAAGAAGACAGACUUCAGUUCAAGUAAAGGCAUGGUAGGAAUACAAAAUGAUGUAUUGAAAUGUAUGUAAUUUAUGUAAUGCUUUAAUUAAACAAAAUCUGUGUCUGCACUACGUACUCUCACUACUGGUGUCCCUUAGGGCUCGGUUCUAGGCCCUCUCCUCUUCUCUCCAUACACCAAGUCACUCAUUCUGACACCCAGGUGGCGACACGCUCUCUGCGUGCCUG